GCAGCUAGGCUAGCAUUGCCACGGGUUAUUUUGCGUUGAUUAAUAUCUGCGCUGCUAGCUGAUAACUCGAACCCAAAAAAAUUUUAACAAAAUUUAAAUUAAUUUUUAAAAGAAUAAUUAAUUAAAUCGGAAGAGUGUUUAAAAGCUGGUAGCUUUGUGUAACUCAAAAGACAAAUAUGAGUGGUCUAUAUCAAAUAAAUAAGUUAGAUGAAAAUAAUUAAGAUUCGUGGAGCAUACAUAUGCGAUCUGUGUUGGUGCAUUCUGGACUUUGGAGUGCAACCUCCGGAUAGAGGUGGAGAAACAUCGAUGCCAACAUCGAUGUCAUCGAUGUUUUCGAAACAUCGGUAACAUCGAUGUUUUACCAGGCAACAUCGAUGUUUUUCCAUCUCUAACGCGCAUCAAGAAGGAAAUACGUGAAAAUUUGUUCUGUUGGUGGUGUUGGCUGAGGUAGUGGAGUGGAGGCAUGGAGAGAUAUCUGAAACGAACAUUAAAAUCAGAUGAGAAUGUGGAGGAGCAAGUGCCAGCCCCAAAAAAAGAAGCGGCCAAAGCAUUGCAUUAUGUCCAUUCCUCGAGAGCAGCCAGCACCACCAACAAAAGAACCUACACGAUUUUCCUUCAUUAAAUCAAAAUUGGAUGCAAAAGUACAAUCAUUCCGGGCCGAUGCAAUUGUCCUGUUGCGUUGACAUAUGGAAAAGGAAAACCAGACCGAAAAGCGCGAUCCACUUGCAUAUUGGGAAAUAUCUACCGAAGAAACUUUCAAAAAGUUAUCCACAAAGCUUUUGCGAUCCCGCUUCAUCGUGCGAAUCAGAACGAGUACUUAGUAGAGCUGGACAACUUAUAUCCGACCGUCGCACUAGACUUUCAUCUUUCGUUGUUGACAAACUUUUGUUUUUAAACAAAAA